UGUAUUUUUUUGCAACCUACUUCACAAUUAAGCCGCAUAAUCAUUAUAUGUUUUCAGAGCUGAUAUAGCAAGGCUUGUGUGUGAAAAAGUCCAAUUAACUCUACGCAGUAGUUUUUGGUUGGUGCCCUUUUAAAUAUGGAGAGCAAUAAGCAGCAUUUUCGUCAUAUUUUACUUUUUUACUAUAGAAAAAUUAAAAAUGCUGUUCAAGACAGAAAAAAUUAACCAAUGUGUAUGGAGAAGAUGUGUCGACAGUACGCCAGUACCAGAACUGGUUUGCAAAAUUACAAUCCGGCAAUUUUGAUGUCGAAGAUGCACCACGUUCUGAAAGGUCGAUUGAAGCUGAUAAAGACAUGAUAAAGGCAUUAGUUGAUGCAAACCGGCGAAUAACAACAUGUGAGAUCGGUGAGAGGUUAAAUUUAUCAAAUUCAACUGUUUAUGACUACUUAAAAGGCCUGGGAUUAACCUCGAAGCUCGAUAUAUGGGUUCCCCAUGUUCUCACGGAGAGAAAUUUGUGUCGUCGCGUUGACGUCUGUGAUUCGUUACUCAAAUGUCACGUAAAUAAUGCAUUUUUGAAGUGCAUCAUUACUGGGGCCGAAAAAUGGGUUGUAUAUAACAAUGUCAAAUGCAAGAGAUCAUGGAACAAAAAAGAUGAAUCACCUCAAAGCAUUUCCAAAGCCAAUAUCCAUCAAAAAUGGUGAUAUUAUCUGUUUGAUGGGAUUUUAAAGGAAUCGUUUUUUUUGAGAUUUUAUCGAAUAACACAACAAUUAAUUCGGAUGUCUACUGUCAACAGCUGGACAAACUGAACGAUGGACUUCAAUAGAAAAGGCCAGAAUUAAUCAACAGAAAAGGUAUAGUGUUCCAUCAAGAUAAUGCGAUACCUCAUACCAGUUUGGUCACUCGCCAAAAGCUUUUACAACUUGAAUGGGAUAUAAUGCCACAGCCACCAUAUUCUCCAGAUCUGGGACCUUCAGAUUAUUAUUUAUUCUGGUCACUGCAAAAUUUUUUAGGCGGUAAAACCUUCCCUUCAAAUGAGGAGGUCAAAAACCACCUCGAUCAGUUUUUUGCCGGCAAAGACCAAAAAUUUUAUAAGCGUGGAUUCAUGCUACUACCAGAAAGAUGGCAAAAGGUAUUGAACCAGAAUGGUCAAUAUAUAAUUUAAUAAAAUAUUUGUUCAUUAAACGAAAAUUGUCUUUCAUUUUCACAAAAAAAAACGAAAUUACUUUCCGAACGACUCAUUACAUAAGAAGUGAAAUAUCCAAACGAAACAAGAUAUUCUCUUUGGUGUGAUUGAUUACAAGGAACAUCGUAAUAAUACAUCGGAUAAGAUAGUUGAAUUACCGGUACUUUUAUUUGACCAAUAUAUUCUCUCCGACCAAUGACAAGGAGUAGAUCGAGCAUAAUCAAAAAAAAUGAUCGUCACGAAAGUACAAAGAUUAAAGAAUCUCUCUAAAGCAUCUAAACGAUUCCAGGAACUCUCGGAUACACCAGAAUGAAAGAAGAGUAAAACGAAAUAAAGAAAAAAAAUUUCUAGGAACAAAGAAUAGACAUGUCAACAAGAUUAAAAGAUAAAGAUAAUCAUUACGAAGAUACUGUUGUUGAAAACGGUAACAACGAAGAUAAAGAAUACAAUCAAUAACGAGAAUAGACAACGACGAAAUAUCGAGAAACAAAAAAAAUAAUGAUUGAGGUCAAAUGAAAGUGAACAAACAAUAAAUAAAUAUGACGUUUGUUAUCUUUUUAUUCACAAGAAUGUGCGAAUAACGUAAAAACGUAGGGUUAAUAUAUUAAAGGCAUCAAUGAAAUAUUACCGACGUUCGAAUCGGAUUUAUUCGGAUCUUGAGGUUGAGAGAUAAUUCGAAGAAAAAUAAAGAAUAAUUUCGAUUAAUCGAAAAAAAUAAAGAAAAUUGAUCAGUUAUAACUAUGUAUACGCCACACGGUUAAACGAUUUAGAAUCGUUAGAGAAGAUUUUGAAGCAUUAUUAAUUGGCGAAUUGGAGAGAAGUCUGGCAAAACGAUAAUAUAAUUACCUGUCUUUCUUCAUGGCAACGAUUAGUUGCACGAGAAUACAAUAGGAAGAUAGGAUAGAACGCAGCAGAAUAUAUUUACUACGGUAAACUAGCCAAACGCACAAAAGCAACUAUGCCCUAUAAGGAAACAGUCGAAUGGAGAUUAGUUUUGGGACUAAGAAACAUACAAUUCCGCGAUUAUUUGGGACAUCUUUCAAGAUAUGCAAAACCUAUCUCUACCAGUCAACUGCUAGCAGACUUUUAAAAAAAAGUGCUGAUCAUUAACCACACUAACCGAACAUAUCAUGCUAAAUUGAUGAAAAGCAGGACUGUUAACGGCAAUUAUGUGAUUCAACUAUUGGAGAAAAAGAACGUCGAGGAUAAUAACUUUGUUGGGAGGACUACAAUAGUAGAGAUAUAUAGUUCGAACAAGUCGAACUAUAAUCAGAUCAAUUAUGAUCGAUCUAGGAAACUUAUGCGUAAUACUAAAUACAGGAUUAACAACGACGAUGAAAUAGGACUGACGUACGUAUCUAAAGUUUUGUAAAAUUAACAGAGUAUAGAUAUGGAUAUGUAUUAUAACUGUUGAAACUAUAAUUGGGAGUAAAGGAGAAUUGAAAAUCCAUCCGUAAUUCCGAUGACGUAUCAAGUUAUCCCUUUGAUCCAGUAGAUCAUCAUCCGUUACGGGAGGAUGACACAUAGGACGAUAUUAUAAUUUAACAAUAGUGGACGACAAGACCAUGUAGAUUGUAGAGACACGUAUUAAAUAUUACUGACUCGUAAUGGACAAGGAGAUAGCGCGUCAUUACAUGCGCAGAACCGAUCCAACAAGGAAGACAUGAAAAUAGAAGCGAACACUGGAUCAUACUCGUUAUUCACAAAAAUGUUGUACGUCGAACUAUUGAAUAAACUGAGAUGGAUAGAAACACCAAUGGAAUUCGACAAUUGUACAUUUUCAAUCGUAUUGAUUAUCCAACAUCAUGAGCGACGACAACAGGAAAUAAUGCACAGUAACUAGAUUAUAGAAGGUAAUAUCAUCGAAGCGAAUGAUUUUCUGUUUUCCUAUUGUUUGAUGAUACUACUCUUUCCGAGAUAAAAUGACGUGCAAGGUAUGAAUGGAAGAGUGAAGGGGAAUGGGAAUGUAGAUCGUAAAACAGUUAUAUAAUAACAGUGAAAUAAUAACAGUUAAAUAAUAACAUUCGAUAUCGAGAGAAUACAGGAUCGAUCGAACAGACAGAGCAGACAUAUUAAAUAUUAUAUCAUGUCGUGUCCUAAGUAACCGUUAUAUUAUCAAGUAUCAGCGAUAACUGAAGUUUCUAAACUAUACG